UCGGGAAGGGAGGAGCGGGGAGAGCACGACCAAGCAGGUCGCCAAGUGUGUUACCUCUGGCCAGAGAGCGCCUUCCUUCCAUCUUUGAUGUUCUGCCCCUGGCACCAGCACCCUUGAAUCACCCUGACUGAGAAUCUUUGAGUCACAUUUGACGCAGACUUUUCCUGAUGGAAGGGGCCCUGAACUCGUGGGGACACCCACACAUUCACUUUACAGAUGAGAAAACUGGCCCAGAGAUAGUGAAGUGACUAAGGAGGGGGUACAGAGCGUACAUCCAGGAGAGCCAGGAACAGGGACUAGAACUUGUGUGUCCCAUCCCCGUGUAUCCAUGUUGGUGAAAGCUAACAUUUACUGAGCUCUAUACACGUUCCCGCAUGGAUCCAGACAUUUUAUAAUACUGUCUUCAACUGGAACGACUCUAAGAAAUUAUGAGUUUGGGGCAUACCUAGAAAGAUCUUCCAUCCUCCAAGAUCUCUUUCACCAAAGUCCUGUGCUUGCUUCUUCUGAAGGGAGGAAAAAGAGACCAUGGCCACUGGAUCCGGACCCAGACCCACCAGCAACACUGCCACCUCCAGCCAUUCCCGGCGCCACAGAAUACAGAAAACUUUGAUCCCCUGUGUCAUGGGGUCAGACCAGGGGCCUUGCUUAUAGGAGUCUAAAGGCCUUAUUGGAAUACAGAGAUUCACUUCUGAUCUAGGGGGAAAAAUAAGAUAAGGGGAAUCCUGUGAUAAGGAAGAUCUGCUCGCUAUUCUGGGAACGUUUUUGGGUCAGCUUGACCCAGAACCAGGCAUUCCUACAUCUCCUGAGAGCCCAGUGAUCUUGUCCACACCCACAGCCUCACGUACUUCUUGUGUGUUGAUGAGUUCCAGAUUUAUAUCUCCAGUCCCUACCUCUGAGCACAGGAGCUGGAAUCAAGGUAUCUGGUAGGGGUGGUCUGGCCCGGGUCCCCUUGCAUCCCAGAUUCUGCCAGCCUCCUACUCUGCAUUCGUGCCGCUCAUCUCCUGGGUGUUAGGAGGAAACCUCAGGGGGGCCUUCGCUGUGCCUUCCCUCCAUCACCUCUAAGAUACACUGGUUUCUGCUGAACGCUUUCCACAGUUCAUCAUCGUUGCUUAUUUGAUCAUGGGAACAAUGAUGGCAGAAACCAUGCCUGUCUUAUCCUCCACUUGGUUUCCAGCACCCAGCAAGUUCAUGGACCAUCGUCGACACCUAACCAAUACUUGCUGAAUGAAAAAUUGGAAGGAAAAUAUGUGACUUCUUUACUUAAAUAGUUUCAAGUGUAGUUAACAGAGAGAAAUACCAAAUGUACCAUCAAGUGUCAAAAUGAUGGUUGCUUGGAACUGGAAAGUUUGCUUGGAGAAAAGAAAUAGAUGAUAAAGGUAGAAUCAGGAAUUACUGGUAAAGGAGAAGAUUUAGUCUGUGCAUGGUCUGGGGAAACCAGCUACCAACAAAGAAAAAAAUAACCGACAUCUUUUCCUCACAUUGUAUACCACGAACUUUCCAGAUGAACCGAGGAGCUUUAAAAACCUUGGAAACACUGAACUAUUUAUCACGUCUCUGGAAGGAAGUAGGUUUCCAUCUUAGAAGCAACAGAAGCAGUUAGCAAGGAGAAGGUUAACUGACUGGACUGUAGAAGUAUUUUAAACUUUUGCAUGUUAAAAAAAAAAA